GAAUAUUGCACAAUGGAGGAAACUCUGAUGCAGCGACGUCGCGUGAGCGAUGAAGGCUUUCGAGUCGUAAAGCUCUGUCCUAGGGGACGAUAAUGACGGUACCCUAGGAGGAAGCCCCGGCUAACUACGUGCCAGCAGCCGCGGUAAUACGUAGGGGGCGAGCGUUGUCCGGAAUUAUUGGGCGUAAAGGGUUCGCGGGCGGCCUUUUAAGUCGGAUGUGAAAGCCCACGGCUUAACCGUGGUAAGCAUUUGAAGCUGGAAGGCUUGAGUUAAGGAGAGGAAAGUGGAAUUCCUAGUGUAGCGGUGAAAUGCGUAGAUAUUAGGAGGAAUACCAGUGGCGAAGGCGACUUUCUGGACUUAUACUGACGCUGAGGAACGAAAGCGUGGGGAGCAAACAGG
rnacentral:rRNA from 1 species